rnacentral:rRNA from 1 species
GGCCAGACUCCUACGGGAGGCAGCAGUGGGGGAUAUUGCACAAUGGGGGAAACCCUGAUGCAGCAACGCCGCGUGAGUGAAGAAGUAUUUCGGUAUGUAAAGCUCUAUCAGCAGGGAAGAAAAUGACGGUACCUGACUAAGAAGCUCCGGCUAAAUACGUGCCAGCAGCCGCGGUAAUACGUAUGGAGCAAGCGUUAUCCGGAUUUACUGGGUGUAAAGGGAGCGCAGGCGGUACGGCAAGUCCGAUGUGAAAACCCGGGGCUCAACCCCGGGACUGCAUUGGAAACUGCCGCACUAGAGUGCCGGAGAGGUAAGUGGAAUUCCUAGUGUAGCGGUGAAAUGCGUAGAUAUUAGGAGGAACACCAGUGGCGAAGGCGGCUUACUGGACGGUAACUGACGCUGAGGCUCGAAAGCGUGGGGAGCAAACAGGAUUAGAUACCCGGGUA